GUAACACCUUAAGUUUAACACUAAAACAUACGACACUAUAAUUUAAAUUUGGGAUAUCGAAAGAAGGCCGAUGGGAAGAUUUGACAUAUGUUUUGGAGGAUUGAAGACCCAAUGACAAACUCAAAGAGUACAACCCUGGGACUAUUGGUUACACAUAACGGUAGACCAACAUAUUGUGAUAAAGAAAAUGAGGUUGUUAUGUGGAGAGAUCUGACUAAAGUUUUGGAGUUUUGAAGAUCCCAAGACCUACAAAAUACUUUAUAAACUUCAAAAUUUUUAACAGCUAAAUCACGGUUGCAUUGUGUUGGCAGAUAAAAGUUUGUCCGAUUUAAAAGAAACAAAAUUAUUAUCCACUAAAAUGCUCUAGUAAUUUGAAGGGAAGUACCAUGUAAACUUGUUUGCUUAAGAAUUUGCAACAACAAUGGCAGAGUUAGCUUUCUUACAAUGGUCUACCCGAUGUGGACAAUUACAAGACAGAGAAAUAAGAAAAUAAAACAUUGUAAAAACACAAUCUAUUUGAUUACUUGAGUUAAUUCUCCGCCAAUAUAAUCCACAAUAAUAUAAAAGAAAAUAUCAUUUUUCUUUGGUGAUUGAAAUAAUUAAUAAUGAUAUACGUUCCUUAAUUGAUUGACCGAAACUGAAACACUAAACACUACUUUAUCACAUAUUAUUCAAAUGCAUUGAUAGAAUUUAUUCAUCAAGAAUAAUAUUUUUCCCUUCUUAUUAUGAAAUAUAUUAUGUUCAUUAAUUUAGUUAUAUGUAAAAGGUUAACUUUAAACUUUUAUCACAAUAUGAAGGGUGCUGUAUCUCUAUUCC